GAUGAACGCUGGCGGCGUGCUUAACACAUGCAAGUCGAACGAUGAAGCCCAGCUUGCUGGGUGGAUUAGUGGCGAACGGGUGAGUAACACGUGAGUAACCUGCCCUUAUCUCUGGGAUAAGCCUGGGAAACUGGGUCUAAUACCGGAUAGGAGCGUCCACCGCAUGGUGGGUGUUGGAAAGAUUUGUCGGUUUUGGUUGGACUCGCGGCCUAUCAGCUUGUUGUUGAGGUAAUGGCUCACCAAGGCGACGACGGGUAGCCGGCCUGAGAGGGUGACCGGCCACACUGGGACUGAGACACGGCCCAGACUCCUACGGGAGGCAGCAGUGGGGAAUAUUGCACAAUGGGCGCAAGCCUGAUGCAGCGACGCCGCGUGAGGGAUGACGGCAUUCGGGUUGUAAACCUCUUUCAGUAGGGAAGAAGCGAAAGUGACGGUACCUGCAGAAGAAGCACCGGCUAACUACGUG
rnacentral:rRNA from 1 species